UACGGGGGGGGCAAGCGUUGUUCGGAAUUACUGGGCGUAAAGGGCUUGUAGGUGGCCAACUAAGUCAGACGUGAAAUCCCUCGGCUUAACCGGGGAACUGCGUCUGAUACUGGAUGGCUUGAGUUCGGGAGAGGGAUGCGGAAUUCCAGGUGUAGCGGUGAAAUGCGCAGAUAUCAGGAGGAACACCAAUUGCGAAGGCAGCUCGCUGGGACGUUACUGACGCUGAGACGCGAAAGCGUGGGGAGCAAACAGG
rnacentral:rRNA from 1 species